AGUGUUGAUUGCUUUGGCUAUAUAAUAUAUGCAAAUCUCGUUAAAUUGGAUUAGAAUCUGUAUAUGAGUUUUCAGGCUUAGACGCCAUUCUCUCUUGCAUCUUUUGGUAAUGUGAAAGCCCCAUAUAUCUACAACAUAGAUUUGCUAGGAUAUUGACAUCUGGUGAAGCAAGUUGGAAUUUUAGCCGCCGACUAGAGCUUAGCACGCCGUAUAGUCUAUCUGACAUAUUUCUUAAGGUCCAUAUAAUGGCUAAUGCAUUUUGACAAUGCAGCUAACAAUUAUGUGAGGAAAUAAGGUUUACACAAUUAUCUUGCAUUAAUCUAGAUAUCUUUCAUCGGUGAAGCAUGGUAUGGCCAUCAUAUUCAAAAGCAUCUGGUUUGGUAUCAUGGUGUAUUGUUUAUCAGGGAGCAUGGUCUAAUUCUCUAAGUCAUGGGUCACUAAACGUUACAAAGAACAAAUGAGAUAUGCCAUAACUACUUUAAGAAUGAGAUAAUCAUCUUUUUUUGACUCAUCAUUGUUUUUGUCAUGAUCAGCAACAUAUCACUUUAAGAAUGCAUGGUCAUCAAAAAUUAUUGUUGUUUUGAUGAAUUUGAAGCAAAUAUGUGAUCCAGUUGAGGCUUCUGUUAUCCAGAUUUCAUGCCCCAUGUUUAGCUUUGGCUGGAGUGACUGAUUCCAGUUAUAAUUGCAAUCAAUGACUUGAGGAGCACCUAAUAGGAGGAAGAGUAAUAAUUGAUCUAACACGCGAGAAGAGUUAUGAACGUCCAUUUUUUGUGUGUCUUUAACUGUUACCACUUUUCACUUCCAACUGGACAUGAAAAUUAAUGAUAUUUACAGCUCUAGUAGUUUUCAUAGUUGAAUGUACACCUUCAUGGUAUCCACUUCUGUAUUGAUCUAGCUAGAUCUGGAAUUGCUGGGAAUUUUUUAUGCUAUAUUGCUUUAUUAUUUUGUUUUUCAUGCCCAAAUGAAGGCUUUUGCUCAAGCAAAAAGUCACUAUUGAUCAACAUAUUUGCAGCUUGCCCUUUCCCCAUUUUUAUCCCUCUUGCAUUGUACUGUAACUUGUCAGGAAACAAUCAAGCGCCUCAUUGAACAGAUAAAACAGUGUAGCAUGCAUGUUGUUUUUUUCCUAAUCUGAUGUUCUUAAAUCAAGAAUGACUAAAAGGAUAUUAUAAUUGGAAGGGAGUUUGGGAAGUAUGCUUCUGGGGGGAAUGAGCAAAUCAAAAACAUUUCAAUAAGAUCUAUCGUUAACGUGCUUAGACAAUCCUACCAGCCCUUCUGCCAUGAAGUUACCACUGCAAAACCUUGAUGGGGCAAUUGGCCCCCUCCCCCUGUCCCCUUAUCAUUUAAAGAUUCCACCAUCAAGUUUCAGGCUUAUCAAACAUGUAACAAACAAUUCUUAACUUGUUGUGUUCUCUGUAGGAACUCAGGGACGCAGAGAUUAGUCUGUCUCUGAGUAUUCCUUACCAGCAAAAGCUAACUAUUUCCUGGCAAUAUAAGGUGCUUGUUGGGCCCAUAUAGCCUUGUCAGGCUCUUAGUUCUUACCAAGUCCCACCAAGUUGUUAUUUUCACUUUCUUUGGUUGCCAUAAAGCUCAGUGUGGCAUCUUUUCAGCACAUGCCCUGUUUGCUGUCAACACACGCUUUUGCUCCUUGUUCCAUAAAGAUGUGUUUGCUGCUAGUGAAAAAAAAUUUGAUGUGGUCUCUACUAUAGUAAAAUAUGAACUGGCCUUCUUAGAUUCGAUAAGCAUAGAGUCGUUACAGGAUGCAGUGGUUGUUUUACCCCAUAAAACACGCUUCCUCCAUUGCAGCAGGCAUGGUUCUGGAAUUUAACCUAUGGAAAACAAUUGCAAUUAUCUGAUGGAACUAGUUUUCAUGCUAUCCUUUUUGCCUCACAUGUUUAGAGCAGUACUUCUAUGUUUGUAUUUGUAUAAUUGUAUUGCUGUAAUAUAGGGGGAUUGUUAACAUAGAGCUGUGGUAACAAAACUGUAAGACUAUCAAAGAAUAUUCUUGUUUCAAAUUUUUUGUACGAGUGGAGGGAAUUUUUGAGAGGUUGGGUUGUUACUUGAUUUAAGCUGUAUAUUUUGUUAAAAUACUUUGUAACCCAACCAUUGGUUGUUUCUGCAAUAUCUGUGAGUUCCAACCGCUACUGUAGCCCUCCACAAGCUAUAGCCAGGUGUUUUGCUUGUUGACUCAGAAUUUUUUGUUACACUAAACAAAAGAUUGAUGAAUAUAGAGUAGCAUUUGUAUGUUAUGCACUAUGACUGAUUUGACUGAAGAACCACCCAGUCCUCUUUGUGUUAAGGAUUGUCCAGGAGUGCACGUUAUCGGUUCCCUGCUUGCAGUCUUUGAUCUACAUGUACUGAUUCUGAACUCUUUCGUGAUUGUUCUUGGCUUCUUGCAGGGAAGAAUAUCAUGUGUGGUGCAUGUUAAUCCACACAACCAAACCAUAGUACAUCAGGACUGCUAUCCUGAGUGAAAUUGCUAGCGGAAGCUAUCCCCUCUGGCGAAUGGAUGAUUUCUAAACUUCACUUGGAGUUGUGGUUGUAAAAACUCGAUCCAUUGGCUUUGGGUGUACACGUGCGAGGAACAACAAAACUAUACUGCCUGUUGUGAAGUCGUUGGCACGUCAUGUAAUACCGAUCAGUUCCCUGAGAAGAAAAUGUCGUUUCACAUUGGUAUUCCGGGUGCUGUUCCUGUUUGGGUUUAUUGGAACAUUGGCCACAUGGAUCA